AGCAGUGUGGCCUCGUGGCCUAAAGCACUGGACUGGGAUUCAAGAGGCCUGAGUUCUAUUCCCAGCUCUACCA
rnacentral:tRNA from 1 species